GGUGACACAGUGACAGAGUAAGGGGGUGACUAGUGACAGAGUGAGGGAGCGGGUGACACAGUGACAGAGUUAGUGAGGGAGUGACUAGUGACAGAGAGAGGGAUGGGGUGACUAGUGACAGUCACCCCCCCUCACUCUGUCACCAGUCAUCCCCUCUCUCUGUCACUAGUCACCCCUUCCCUCCCUCACUUUGCCACUAGUCAUCUCUUCCCUCCCUCACUCUGCCACUAGUCACCCAUUCCCUCACUCUGUCACUAGUCUCCCCCUCUCCUUCCCUCUGUCACUAGUCACCCCCACUCACUGUGUCUCCCCCUCACUCUGCCAC
rnacentral:sRNA from 1 species